rnacentral:lncRNA from 1 species
AUUUAACUCCCAGCUGGGGAAACUGACUGGUGAGUGGUCAGCAGAAAGCUGAACAACAGGAGGUGGCGUAAAGAGCAGAAAUGGUUUUUUUAGUCUGCUUUGAUCUCAAGUGACUAUAACAGUGCCUGAUGCAUAGAAGGAACUUGGUAUUUCUUGAAUGAAUGCUUUCUCCUAUAACAUGAUAUGAAAUCAUUGGAAACCUUAAAGAGAUUUUUUUAUUGUGCUGAAUAUAUGCAUGGAAGACCACAGGCCAUGUUGUUCUUUUCUGACACAAUUGAAAUACUAGAAUGGGUAUCAUUUCAACAACCUGAUCUCUGGUUCCUGUACAGAAGUCUCAAGCACCCAAACCAAACAUUUCCUUCUGUACUUGAUCAGCAAAGAAAUGCAGUGGCAUAUACACAACGUCAGUUUUCACUUUCCCACUCUCCUUUGCCUUCUGCCAUUAAGUGGAAGCAGACUGAG